rnacentral:sRNA from 20 species
CACCGAGUCCGCGGCUCCGGCCAUCACCGGAGCCUGGUGCAAAAGGGA